rnacentral:rRNA from 1 species
UACGUAGGGUGCGAGCGUUAAUCGGAAUUACUGGGCGUAAAGCGUGCGCAGGCGGUUUUGUAAGCCAGGUGUGAAAUCCCCGGGCUCAACCUGGGAAUGGCAUUUGGGACUGCAAGGCUGGAGUGCGGCAGAGGAGACUGGAAUUCCUGGUGUAGCAGUGAAAUGCGUAGAUAUCAGGAGGAACACCGAUGGCGAAGGCAGGUCUCUGGGCUGACACUGACGCUCAUGCACGAAAGCGUGGGGAGCAAACAUG